rnacentral:rRNA from 1 species
AACGUAGGAGACAAACGUUAUCCGGAGUUACUGGGCGUAAAGGGCGUGCAGGCGGCCUGAUAAGUUCGGCGUGAAAUUUCCCGGCUUAACCGGGGGAUGUCGUCGGAGACUGUCGGGCUAGAGGGUGAUAGAGGCGUGUGGAAUUCCGGGUGUAGUGGUGAAAUGCGUAGAGAUCCGGAGGAACACCAGUGGCGAAGGCGACACGCUGGGUCAUACCUGACGCUAAAACGCGACAGCAUGGGGAGCGAACGGG